GCCCAGCCAGUAUGGUGGAUAUGAUUCUCGGAUUGUAACCGAGUGGUUUCGAGUUCGAAUCCCGAGUAAGGCA